GUGAGGAAUAUUGGUCAAUGGACGCAAGUCUGAACCAGCCAUGCCGCGUGCAGGAAGACGGCUCUAUGAGUUGUAAACUGCUUUUGUACGAGGGUAAACUCACCUACGUGUAGGUGACUGAAAGUAUCGUACGAAUAAGGAUCGGCUAACUCCGUGCCAGCAGCCGCGGUAAUACGGAGGAUUCAAGCGUUAUCCGGAUUUAUUGGGUUUAAAGGGUGCGUAGGCGGUUUGAUAAGUUAGAGGUGAAAUCCCGGGGCUUAACUCCGGAACUGCCUCUAAUACUGUUAGACUAGAGAGUAGUUGCGGUAGGCGGAAUGUAUGGUGUAGCGGUGAAAUGCUUAGAGAUCAUACAGAACACCGAUUGCGAAGGCAGCUUACCAAACUAUAUCUGACGUUGAGGCACGAAAGCGUGGGGAGCAAACAGGAUUAGAUACCCUAGUAGUCC
rnacentral:rRNA from 1 species